rnacentral:rRNA from 1 species
UACGAAGGGGGCUAGCGUUGUUCGGAAUUACUGGGCGUAAAGCGUAUGUAGGCGGAUCGUUAAGUCGGGGGUGAAAUCCCGAGGCUCAACCUCGGAACUGCCUUCGAUACUGGCGAUCUUCGAGUCCGGGAGGGGUGAGUGGAACUCCGAGUGUAGAGGUGAAAUUCGUAGAUAUUCGGAAGAACACCAGUGGCGAAGGCGGCUCACUGGCCCGGUACUGACGCUGAAAUACGAAAGCGUGGGGAGCAGACAGG